CGGCCACAUGUAGUUGCAACACCGAUUCCUGUACGAUCACCGAAGUUAAGCAACGUUGAGUUUUCAGUACUUCGAUGUGUCACCGCUUGAGAAUACCAGGU